rnacentral:rRNA from 1 species
AUUGAACGCUGGCGGCAUGCCUUACACAUGCAAGUCGAACGGCAGCACGGGAGCAAUCCUGGUGGCGAGUGGCGAACGGGUGAGUAAUAUAUCGGAACGUGCCCAGUGAUGGGGGAUAGCCCGGCGAAAGCCGGAUUAAUACCGCAUACGACCUACGGGUGAAAGCAGGGGAUCGCAAGACCUUGCGUCAUUGGAGCGGCCGAUAUCAGAUUAGCUUGNGGUGGGGUAAAAGGCCUACCAAGGCGACGAUCUGUAGCUGGUCUGAGAGGACGACCAGCCACACUGGGACUGAGACACGGCCCAGACUCCUACGGGAGGCAGCAGUGGGGAAUUUUGGACAAUGGGACGCAAGCCUGAUCCAGCCAUGCCGCGU